UGUAAAAACAUGCUGGAUUGAGAAUCCAGAUGGAAGAAUUAUGCACAGCACAAGGGCCUCAUCUAUGAGAUUUUUCUGAGCAUGAUGAUAGGAGAUAGCAACCCACAUGAAAGAAACCUGGCCAUGCCAUGUAUAGGCUACGAGUACUAACGAAGAGCAUGUAGCAGUGGUCGCACACUUUGCACCCUAAUGACAGCCCAAAUAUGAACAGCAAAAAAAUGUCAGAUACAAGCAAAUAUAGGAAACAAAUAUUUGACAUAAAGCAGAAGGGCAGGGGCAGACCCACGGGAGGGUCCAGGUGGGCAGUGGCACACCCUAAGCCAGGUCCACCAAGACCCCAACCGAACUCCAAUCGCUUCAGCCUUCACUUCACGCCUGCCUGCGACGCCAACGAGGGGACGAGUGCCGGCCCGCGAGGCCAAUCGCCGCCGCCCCAUAGGGUCUGGCCUUUGGCACUCGCGCCACGCGCCGUCGCCCCUAGGCCCUAGCACCACGCCGUCCCUGCCUCGCAGCCCUGCGUAUCGCCGCCGCCGCCGCCGCUCUGUGUUCGUGGCCCUAGCACCAGCACUGGAGCCCCGCCCACUGGCCAGCCGCCACGGCACCACGCGCCAGGCUUCCACGCCUCGCCAUCGCCCAGCCACUAGCGCUCAGGUAUAAAAUGGUAAAAUAUUGGACUUCUCACUGAGAUUGGAAAUUGCAAUUGAUGUGGCUCAUGCCUAUAUUCAGACCAUCCCGUAACCCACAGGGACAUCAAAUCCUCUUCUAAUGAACACCUGUCGAGCUAUAAGGUUGCUGGCUUCGGAUUUGCCAAACUAGCUCAGCUGACGCUAGUCAUAUCUCUCAAUCAAGUCAAGGGAACAGCAGGCUAUCUCGAUCCAGAAUAUCUAUCUCAGAACAUACCAGCUCAAUGAGAUCAAUCUAGCGGUCGAGAAGUUGUACGAGCUGGCCCUGCAGUGCUUAGCUCCAACGAAGAGGAACCGGCAGAGCAUGAAGCGGCGCGCAGAGAUUCUGUGGAGCAUACGUAGAGAUUACAGGGAGUUGGUUGUUCUACCCACCUCUGCCAUGAACUGAAGCGGAUCGUCUGGAGCAAUCAAGCGAAAGGAAGAUCUAAAUUUUUAUGUUUGCCUCUCUUGAUUUGAUUCGCUUCAAAGAUUGGUGGUGGAAAUCAACCGAUUGAUUGGAUUCUUUCAGUUACCGCAGGUGGUGGGGAACGGGACUGAUCGCCUUCCUUCGGCAUGUUCGGUUUCACCUUAAUAUAUGUGGAUUAAAUUAGAUUUGGUGAGUUUAAAUUUAUACCAAGUCAAAAUCUAUACGAACAUUUUCCAAUUCAAUCCAAUCCAUGUGAUGUAGGGAUAAUCGAACAAAGCUUAGAUGUUGUGUGUCUAUUGGCUAGAAACCAGAAGAGUCCCUUGCAGAUCUUGCUAUGCUUGUGUGGAAAUGUUGCUGAGCAAACAUAUGCGAGUACCAGAUAUCUAAUGGUGUGUGUAUCCUGUAGGUUUUCUUAUGCAGGUAAACGCAUCACGCAUGAAGAAAUCUAGUUGUUUC